rnacentral:rRNA from 1 species
GCAAGCGUUGUUCGGAAUUACUGGGCGUAAAGGGCUUGUAGGCGGCCAACUAAGUCGGAUGUGAAAUCCCCAGGCUUAACCUGGGAACUGCAUCCGAUACUGGAUGGCUUGAAUCCGGGAGAGGGAUGCGGAAUUCCAGGUGUAGCGGUGAAAUGCGUAGAUAUCUGGAGGAACACCGGUGGCGAAGGCGGCAUCCUGGACCGGCAUUGACGCUGAGGAGCGAAAGCCAGGGGAGCAAACGGG